rnacentral:ncRNA from 1 species
UUAAACAGGGGUGCUGAUAAGGCUGAGACGGCAAAUGCCGAACCCUAGACCUGAUACGGAUAAUACCGGCGUAGGAAGUUUAUUAA